AUAAUAUUUCAAAGAAAAACAACUAAAUAAAUUUGACGGUAUUAACCUUUACAAAGGAAUUUGUUUCUUAAUCGAAAAUACACGAUUUACCUUACUUAAUUAUUAUUUGUAUACCACCGUAUUAGAAAUUAUACUAAAUUAAUUUCAUAAAAAAUAUUCUUAUAACAUCAGGUCAAGGUGCAAUUUUAUUAAGAUGAAAUGAAUUAUAUUUAUAUAUAAACCUAUAAGAAAUGAAAUUUUCUUAAAAAUAAAAUUUGUAAGUAAAAAUUAAUCAUAAUGUUUUUUGAAAAAAACAUUUAAUAUG
rnacentral:rRNA from 1 species